CGUAGGUGGUUCGUUAAGUUGGAUGUGAAAUCCCCGGGCUCAACCUGGGAACUGCAUUCAAAACUGUCGAGCUAGAGUAUGGUAGAGGGUGGUGGAAUUUCCUGUGUAGCGGUGAAAUGCGUAGAUAUAGGAAGGAACACCAGUGGCGAAGGCGACCACCUGGACUGAUACUGACACUGGGGUGCGAAAGCGUGGGGAGCAAACA
rnacentral:rRNA from 1 species